CAUGCAAGUCGAACGAAGUAGCAAUACUUAGUGGCAGACGGGUGAGUAACAUGUGGGUAUCUACCCUUUGGCCUGGAAUAACACGAGGAAACUUGUGCUAAUACCGGAUAAGUCUUUACGGAGAAAGCUUUAUGCACCAUUGGAUGAGCCUGCACUUGAUUAGUUUGUUGGUAGGGUAAUGGCCUACCAAGACUAUGAUCAAUAGCUGAUUUGAGAGGAUGAUCAGCCACAUUGGGACUGAGACACGGCCCAAACUCCUACGGGAGGCAGCAGUGGGGAAUCUUGCACAAUGGAGGAAACUCUGAUGCAGCGAUGCCGCGUGAGUGAAGAAGGCCCUUGGGUUGUAAAGCUCUUUCGUCGGGGAAGAAAAUGACUGUACCCGAAUAAGAAGGUCCGGCUAACUUCGUGCCAGCAGCCGCGGUAAUACGAAGGGACCUAGCGUAGUUCGGAAUUACUGGGCUUAAAGAGUUCGUAGGUGGUUGAAAAAGUUGGUGGUGAAAUCCCAGAGCUUAACUCUGGAACUGCCAUCAAAACUUUUCAGCUAGAGUAUGAUAGAGGAAAGCAGAAUUUCUAGUGUAGAGGUGAAAUUCGUAGAUAUUAGAAAGAAUACCAAUUGCGAAGGCAGCUUUCUGGAUCAUUACUGACACUGAGGAACGAAAGCAUGGGUAGCGAAGAGGAUUAGAUACCCUCGUAGUCCAUGCCGUAAACGAUGUGUGUUAGACGUUGGAAAUUUAUUUUCAGUGUCGCAGCGAAAGCGAUAAACACACCGCCUGGGGAGUACGACCGCAAGGUUAAAACUCAAAUGAAUUGACGGGGACCCGCACAAGUAGUGGAGCAUGUGGUUUAAUUCGAAGAUACGCGCAGAACCU
rnacentral:rRNA from 1 species